GACGAACGCUGGCGGCGUGCUUAACACAUGCAAGUCGAACGGAAAGGCCCUGCUUUUGUGGGGUGCUCGGGUGGCGAACGGGUGAGUAACACGUGAGUAACCUACCCUUGACUUUGGGAUAACUUAAGGAAACUGGGGCUAAUACCGGAUAGGAGCUCCUGCUGCAUGGUGGGGGUUGGAAAGGUUCGGCGGUUGGGGAUGGACUCGCGGCUUAUCAGCUUGUUGGUGGGGUAGUGGCUGACCAAGGCUUUGACGGGUAGCCGGCCUGAGAGGGUGACCGGCCACAUUGGGACUGAGAUACGGCCCAGACUCCUACGGGAGGCAGCAGUGGGGAAUAUUGCACUAUGGGCGGAAGCCUGAUGCAGUAACGCCGCGUGCGGGAUGACGGCCUUCGGGUUGUAAACCGCUUUCGCCUGUGACGAAGCGUGAGUGACGGUAAUGGGUAAAGAAGCACCGGCUAACUACGUG
rnacentral:rRNA from 1 species